rnacentral:misc_RNA from 1 species
GGAAGUAAAAGCGUAACAAGGUUUCCGUAGGUGAACCUGCGGAAGGAUCAUUCAUAAUAAGUGUUUUACUGCACUUUUUAAAAAUAGUACUCACCUUGUGUGCAAUGUUGUGUUUCUUUUCGGAGAAACACCUACACCAACCUAUAACCUUGAACCACUUUGUCUGAAAAACUAUUAUGAAUACUUAAUUCAAAAUACAACUUUCAACAACGGAUCUCUUGGCUCUC